UACGGGGGGAGCAAGCGUUGUUCGGAUUUACUGGGCGUACAGGGCGCGUAGGCGGCCUGUGCAAGUCAGUUGUGAAAUCUCCGAGCUUAACUCGGAACGGUCAACUGAUACUGCUCGGCUAGAGUGCGGAAGGGGCAACUGGAAUUCUUGGUGUAGCGGUGAAAUGCGUAGAUAUCAAGAGGAACACCUGCGGCGAAGGCGGGGUGCUGGGCCGACACUGACGCUGAGGCGCGAAAGCUAGGGGAGCGAACGGG
rnacentral:rRNA from 1 species